GUGAAGAACGUAGCGAAAUGCGAUAAGUAAUGCGAAUUGCAGAAUUCCGUGAGUCGUCGAAUCUUUGAACGCACAUUGCGCCCUUUGGCAUUCCGAAGGGCAUGCCUGUUCGAGCGUCAUUUAUCAACCCUCAAGCCCGGCUUGCGGUUGGGUCCCGCCGUGGGCGACCACGGCGGACCCGAAAGGUAAUGGCGGUGCCCGUGGGGCCCUGGACGCAGCGAGCUUCUCGGCACGCGUCCCGGCGGUCCCCGGCGCCGUCUCCACCAAUCCACCACGCAGAUUGACCUCGGAUCAGGUAGGGAUACCCGCUGAACUUAAGCAUAUCAAUAAGCGGAGGA
rnacentral:misc_RNA from 1 species